rnacentral:rRNA from 1 species
UGAGGAAUCUUGCGCAAUGGAGGAAACUCUGACGCAGCCACGCCGCGUGCAGGAAGACACCCCUACGGGGCGUAAACUGCUUUUGUACGGGAAGAAGGCGUGCCUUGGGCACGUUUGACGGUACCGUAAGAAUAAGCACCGGCUAACUCCGUGCCAGCAGCCGCGGUAAUACGGAGGGUGCAAGCGUUGUCCGGAAUUAUUGGGUGUAAAGGGUGUGUAGGCGGAGGAGUAAGUCAGAGGUGAAAGGCUGGGGCUUAACCCCAGCACUGCCUUUGAUACUGCUUCUCUUGAGUCCUGGAGGGGUCGCUGGAAUUCGUGGUGUAGCGGUGAAAUGCGUAGAUAUCACGAGGAACACCGGAGGUGUAGACGGGCGACUGGACAGGUACUGACGCUGAGGCACGAAAGCGUGGGGAGCAAACAGGAUUAGAUACCCCCGUAGUCC